UACGGAGGGGGCUAGCGUUGUUCGGAAUUACUGGGCGUAAAGCGCACGUAGGCGGCUUUGUAAGUUAGAGGUGAAAUCCCUCGGCUCAACCGGGGAACUGCGUCUGAUACUGGGUGGCUUGAAUCCGGGAGAGGGAUGCGGAAUUCCAGGUGUAGCGGUGAAAUGCGUAGAUAUCUGGAGGAACACCUGUGGCGAAGGCGGCUAUCUGGACGGUUUCUGACGCUAAGACGCGAAAGCGUGGGGAGCAAACAGG
rnacentral:rRNA from 1 species